rnacentral:lncRNA from 1 species
GACAUAAACUGGCAUGUUCUGAAAGAAUCACUCUGGAUGCUGUGUGGAGAAAACACUGAAAAGACACUAUCCUCAGAAAUUAGAUUUGAAAAAUGAGCUUCAUUUUCGAAGAACAUAUUUCUUUAUAGGGGGAGAAUAAUUGACUCCAUUCAAGUGUUCGCUCCUGUUUCAAUCAACUAUGGCUGAAGAGUGAGGAGACAUUUGGAAUAAAUAUGGCUUCUGGGGGCCCAUUCCUAUGGAUCAGCAGCUGGCUUCUGGAGGCCCAUUCCUGUGAAUCGUCGAUCUCAUAGAAGAUAAUAUUGUUAGAAGGCUUACCUCAUUGAUGCUGAACAUCCUAAAAAGCUUCUGCUGCUUUGAGUCACUGAAAAAGACCAAGAAACAUGAAUUUAAAAAAAAAUUUCAAAUGUUAUAAAAUAAAUAAUAUGAACUCAUUAUACCUACAAUGAAUAA